rnacentral:rRNA from 1 species
GUCUACGGCCAUGCCACCCUGAACGAUCUCGUCUGAUCUUGGCCACUAAAUAGGGUUGGGCCUGGUUAGUACUUGGAUAGGAGACCACCUAGGGAGACCAGGUGCUGUACGCA